rnacentral:rRNA from 1 species
UUAAGCAUCCCGCCUGGGGAGUACGGCCGCAAGGCUAAAACUCAAAGGAAUAGACGGGGACCCGCACAAGCGGUGGAGCAUGUGGUUUAAUUCGACAUUAAGCGAGGAAUCUUACCAAGGUUUGACAUCCGGCUGCAGACUCUGAGAAAUCAGAGAGCCUUAGAGGGUGCCGGACAGAUGCUGCAUGGUUGUCGUCAGCUCGUGUCGUGAGAUGUACCGUUAAGUCGGGAAACGAGCGCAACCCCUGUCCUAUGUUUUACAUGUCAUAGGAGACUGCCCGCUUUAAGUGGGAGGAAGGUGGGGACGACGUCAAAUCAGCAUGGUUCUUACACCUUGGGCGACACACGUGCUACAAUGGGAAGUACAGAGGGACGCUAAGCCGCAAGGCGGAGCAAAUCCCUUAAAACUUUUCUCAGUUCGGAUUGAGGUCUGCAACUCGACCUCAUGAAGUUGGAAUCGCUAGUAAACGCGAAUCAGCCAUGUCGCAUUGAAUACGUUCUCGGGUCUUGUACUCACCGCCCGUCACACCAAGAGAGCCGGCAAUACCCGAAGUCCGGAUUUCAGAUUUCGGAUUUCAGAUUUCGGAUAAUUUUUAUUUAAAUAUUAAAUAAAGAAUCCGAUUUCCGAUAUCUGACAUCUGAUAUCCGGGCGAAGGUAGGGCUAGUGAUAAGGGUGAAGUCGUAACAAGGUA